rnacentral:ncRNA from 1 species
AAAAAGUUUUAUUUUGGUUUAAAUAAUAAGUAUAUGAUUUAAUUACAUGUAAAUUUUAGUAUUGAGGGCUAUAAUUUUAGAAAAAUUAUAGAUGUGGGUAUAUUAGUCGCAGUAUUUGUCUUUGAUUAUUAAGGGAACUUAGAAUCAGAAAUUUAUAAUAAUAUUAACAUAAUUUGUGCCAGCAGUUGCGGUUAUACAAAUAAUAUAAUUUAUUAUUAUUAAUUUAUAAUUAAUUUAUUUAAUUUUAUAUAAGGAUUAAUUUAUUAAGUGAAAUUUUAAAUUAAUUUUUUAUUUUAAUUAAAGUUUUUGAAGUUAUUAAAUUUUACGAAAAACUAGGAUUAGAUACCCUAUUAUAAAAGUGUAAAUAUUAAAAAAUUAAAUUAUUAAUAGUUAUAGUCUUAAAAGUUAAAAAAUUUGGCGGUAUUUUAAUCUAUUCAGAGGAACCUGUCCUAUAAUUGAUACUCCACGAUUAAAUUAACUUAUUUUAAUAAUUUGUAUAUCGUCGUAGUUGAAUAUUUUAUAAGAAAUUUAAUAUUCUAAAUUUUAGUAUAAAAAAUAAAUCAGAUCAAGGUGCAGUUUAUAAGUAAGAAGAGAUGGGUUACAAUAAAGGUAUUUUUGAAUUAAUUAAUGAUAAUAAUUAUAAAAAUGGAUUUGAUAGUAAUUAGAUUUAUAUAGAUUUAAUGAUUUUAGCUCUAAAAUAUGCACAUAUCGCCCGUCGCUCUCAUUUAAGUUGAGAUAAGUCGUAACAUAGUAAAUGUACUGGAAAGUGUAUUUAGUUAGGA